rnacentral:rRNA from 1 species
UACGAAGGGGGCUAGCGUUACUCGGAUUGACUGGGCGUAAAGGGCGCGUAGGCGGUUUGUACAGUCAGACGUGAAAUUCCUGGGCUCAACCUGGGGGCUGCGUUUGAUACGUGCGGACUUGAGUUCGGAAGAGGGUCGUGGAAUUCCCAGUGUAGAGGUGAAAUUCGUAGAUAUUGGGAAGAACACCGGUGGCGAAGGCGGCGACCUGGUCCGAUACUGACGCUUAGGCGCGAAAGCGUGGGGAGCAAACAGG